UAUAACUCAAUUAUUUACUGCUAUUAUUUUCGAGGACUGAUAUUUCUGUAAUUCCAUUUUUAUUUUUUCAAAUAUUUUCUUCAGCAUGAAAAAAAUAAUAUUGAUAUAAUAAAACACAAUUCACGCAACUUUGAGCAAGAGUUAUUGCCCUUCAACUCUUGUUAACGUAAAGCAGCUUCGUCGCCGCCUCGUUGACACUUGCUAUAAUGAAAAAGAAUGUUUCUUGGUUAUUUCAGCGAAUUUCAAAUGCAAUUACUCGUAGAAAAGUAGUUGGCUUUAUUGAUUGCUUCAAGAAUUGUUAAUGUCACCGAUAGAUAUAUUAACAUUUUGUGAUUUCGGAAUAUAUGUGGAUAUAUUUUAUCUUAAUAUAAGGCGAAAACUCGAAAUCGAUUUCCAUUGAAAUAGUACAUAAAAAAUAACAAGGAAGGCAGAAAACAAAACGCAAGAGGGAGAAUAACCAAAUCUGGUAUAUUAUUGAAUAAUUAUUUAUAAAAGAAUUACACAACGUAAACAAGAAAAUAAAUAAAUCCGUAUGCACGUUUUAAUUUAUUACAAACGGCUCUAUUUAUUAUAUAAUAUCCCAACUGUCUACGGAAGUAAUCAAGGUGUUCAUCAGUAAUGUGUGAUUUACCCGCUUUCCACGGAGCUCCUCAGGUAAGUCAUCUUUAGAACUCAGUGUACAUUAAGUAAACAUAUCGAAUAUAUUCUAUGUCUUUCAAAAAAAUUAGUAAUUUCUUGAAUAUUAAAACAUUUUCUUGUAAAACUGAAUAUCAAAUUUUAAA